CAAGCCAACUCUCUAUCACUUCAUAAGGUGAGUAAUAAAGAGAAAUGUUGGCAUCGGCCAAGACUUCUUUCUAAACCUCUUCUUAGGAGUUGCAAAUGCUCAGGGCUGAAGACCACUUGCUAGAUACAGACAUCAGCAAGCUUUCUGAUCUUCCUCUUCCUUUAUGCUGCUUCAGAAGCUCAAAAAGAUCCUGAUGCUUCUUGAAGGAAUCAAAUAAGAAUUCCCACUCUUGUGAUUUGUUGAUUUCUUAAGAUUUCUACUUUCCCCACAUCUGUUUUGUACCUGCUAUUCCUUCUCUAACUGCUCUGAGACAGAUUUAGCCUUCUGUCCCUCACUUCAAAGGCAUUUUUGUGC